rnacentral:rRNA from 1 species
UACGGAGGGUGCAAGCGUUGUUCGGAAUUACUGGGCGUAAAGCGUGUGUAGGCGGCUUGGUAAGUCGGAUGUGAAAGCCCUGGGCUUAACCCAGGAAGUGCAUCCGAUACUGCCAGGCUUGAGUCCGGGAGAGGAAGGUGGAAUUCCCGGUGUAGAGGUGAAAUUCGUAGAUAUCGGGAGGAACACCAGUGGCGAAGGCGACACCCUGGACGGAGACUGACGCUGAGACA